rnacentral:lncRNA from 1 species
GGUUGGUAUGGGAGUAUAAGUAAAUAUGGGGAGGGAGGGUUGGUGCAGGAGAAGUAGUAAAGAUGGUGUGACAGACUUCCUGGCACCCCGACCGGGUACCUCCGUUAAUGGAUGCUCCUAGUGCUCACCGAGGGCUCCAAGCACUCCACCAGACAUCAUAAGCACUGUAGACUCUACGAACUGCCGCAGCUUGUUUGGGUCUCGCUGUCCUCCACCCAUCCUGGACCCAAGACCAGGAUCCAGCUUCCAGUGGGUAGGCCUCUCCUAAUCCAGAGAGCGUAGCAGUAACAGCUUUUAGAAGAGCUAGUGAUUAUACUCAGGGGAGUACUGUGAUUAUAGCAAUCCCAAAGUGUAGUUCUCCAAUCCCCCAAGCAAGAGCCAAGAUUUCAUGAAGGGGUAAAGCAUCUUGUUUAAUAGGAGCCACAGCUGGCCUUUUAUGCAAGGGAACACCCACGUGGACCUUGUGGGGGACAGGAUGACAAUUGUCACAAACCAAUCAGAACAGUAAUUAAAUGUACGACACUCGCAGAAAAAACACGUUUUACAAAACCCCAAAACACAACAUAUCCCUUUGACGAGAGCAAUCUCGCCACAUUGCAUUGGAGAAGCCUGGCUGCCCGCCUGCUGCCUUUGGACUAUGGACCAGACUUUAUGUAAAUGUGUUAAUCCAGAUAGCUAUGCCAUGGAGCCCAUUCGUGUAGUUAAAGACUUCGGCUCCAUGGCAAUUGAACUGUGUGAAUAGGAUCUGAGCGCUAUUCGGUAGUUUUGUGCGCUCAGAUCCCAGCUAUCUGGGGAUAUGUGAAAUGUCUGUGUGUUAUGUGUAAAAGGUGACUUUAUGUAUUUUAAAGUGUUUUACUGUCUUUUUGCAACCAUGUGCUCAAUGGAGUCUGCCUCUAUCCCUGGAUAAUUGGAUUACUUUCUCCAUUGUCUCCAGGAUAGAGGGCUCUGUAAAACCUGGUUGAGCCAAAUACCCAUGUGCCAGCCAGGGCCCAAAAGAUACUUUUACUAACUUUUGAACCCCUGGUCUGAUUCAUGCCAUUUUUUAAUAUGUUGUUCCUCUGAAUAAUUGAUUGUGAAUAUGUAAUUUUAUGUGAAUGUGAUGUAUGGUUUUAGAGUUAUGAAAGUUGGGUAGAAAGUAUGUUUUAACUGUAUGUGUAAUUGAGUUUCCUCUCAGGAUAAGGGGAGGGAAUAUUUGGGAUGUAACUGAUAUGUGAUUGGUUGUUUUAUACCUCCCUGUGGGCGGUCCUGUAUUUGAAAAGACUGUAAUAAAAACCAGGCUGGGUGUGCCAUCACCUCAGACCACUGCUUGACCCUCAACACGGAGCCUUGUCUCGUUCUUGGGGGGAUUCACUGUAUGCUGUUAGAGACUGAUUGCCAGGAGUGUAAGCUGAUUGUCUGCUUUUCCUGUUCGUCUGCUAGCAGCUAUUUGGGAGGUUCCAGUUCGGGAGUUGGAGUGCUAUUUUGUAUCCAGUUCGGGAGUUUGGUGUUCUGCAGUAGCUGUGCCUGCAUCUCUGGAAAGGGGGCCGAUCGCCUAAACGGUUUUUACCCCUUUUGUGCAAAACGGUCCGUUACAAUCCCCAUAACAUUUCCAUAGUGCCGCUGGAGGACCGACUGGGAACCGCGAGGUUUUCAUACCGAAAAUUGUUCCAGGGCAUUCACAGCUAAGUCCCCCUGAAGUCUAUUUGCGGUUUUGGUCCAUGAGAACAAGAUGGCCACCACCACGUGUUAGAAUGUUGAAUAGCGGCCACUUCGACUGUUUGGGAGUCUGAAGUGCCACUUCAAAAGUUCGAACUGUGGCAAUAAAAAUCCAAAAAGGCACAAACAGUGAUUUAAACCAAGUUUUAUCACAGGUGCCAGAGUCACGGUAGGAGGCUGGCAAACAGGGCCCUCCAAAAAUCAGUGGCGAGGUUACUUUCGCCACAGAUGGGGAGGGAGGUUGAUGCGGG